CGCCUGUUUAUCAAAAACAUCUUUUCUCGUUAGUUUUUGAAGUAUGGCCUGCCCACUGACUUUAUGUUGAAGGGCCGCGGUAUUUUGACCGUGCAAAGGUAGCAUAGUCAUUAGUUCUUUAAUUGUGAUCUGGUAUGAAUGGCUUGACGAGGCAUGGGCUGUCUUAAAUUUUGAAUUAUCUAUUGAAUUUGGUCUUUGAGUUAAAAUUCUUAGAUGUUUUUAUGGGACGAGAAGACCCUAUAGAGUUUAACAUUUAUUAUGGUCCCCUUUUGUUUGUGAGGGCUCGCUGGGCCGUUUAGUAUGUUUUGUUGGGGUGAUGGGAGGGAUUUAUUUAACCCCUCCUUUAUAUUGUUAUAUUUAUUUAUAUUUACUUGAUCCAUUUAUUUUGAUUGUAAGAUUAAAUUACCUUAGGGAUAACAGCGUAA
rnacentral:rRNA from 1 species